GUCAGUUUGGCCGAGUGGUCUAAGGCGCCAGACUCAAGUUCUGGUCUUCGUACCGGGUUCAAAUCCCACAUCUGACA